rnacentral:piRNA from 1 species
UCAAAAGUGGGUGUCAAAAUGACUGUGGAA